GAAAAUGCAAGGUCUCAUCCCAUAGAUAGAAUUCCUUAUAUUGGCCCUCAAACGCGACGUCCCCUAUGUGGCUCAAAGAAGGUGAAAACAACCACCUGAAAAAGGCCAAGCCACGAAAAAAUAUCGUAGACGAACUCCUUAAGUUUGGAUUCUGAACUGAAGCAAGAUGCACAACAUGGCUAUCCAAUAUAGUAUUGGUUAGAAAACAAACAAGAAGUGGUGCAUGUGUGUAUUCCAAUCUAAAUAAGGCAUUCCAAAA
rnacentral:lncRNA from 1 species